GAUGAAGAACGUAGCGAAAUGCGAUAAGUAAUGUGAAUUGCAGAAUUCAGUGAAUCAUCGAAUCUUUGAACGCACAUUGCGCCCCCUGGCAUUCCGGGGGGCAUGCCUGUUCGAGCGUCAUUACAACCCUCAGGCCCCCGGGCCUGGCGUUGGGGAUCGGCGGAGCCCCCCGUGGGCACACGCCGUCCCCCAAAUGCAGUGGCGGUCCCGCCGCAGCUUCCAUCGCGUAGUAGCUAACACCUCGCGACUGGAGAGCGGCGCGGCCACGCCGUAAAACACCCAACUCUUCUGAAGUUGACCUCGAAUCAGGUAGGAAUACCCGCUGAACUUAAGCAUAUCAAUAAGCGGAGGA
rnacentral:misc_RNA from 1 species